rnacentral:tRNA from 1 species
UUUUGUUUUAGUAUAAGUUAUUAUUUUAGUUUUUCGUGCUAAGGAUAGUUUAUUUUUGAACUAAACAAAU